AGUACCUGUUUACGUUGACCUAAGCGUUCCAAAUCAGUGCUGCACUCAAAAUAACAGUCAACGUAGAUUUUGUGCGACCGUCAGGUGUCAUUUCAGUUUUUAGCUCGGUGGCGAUAGCCGAAAAAAGACCGGAAACGCCGCAAAUGACCGCUUUUGGCCAAUGCUAGCUUCCGGAAUUCAGGUGGACGUCACGAGCGACGUCUAGCAAGGAGACCUGGGACGUUUUCACACAACCUAAGAAUUGAUGUCGCUCUCCAAGCUAGCUAGCUAGCUAACGUCUAGUGCUAGGCUAAUAGACGCGACGUUUCCAAUGCUGCUUGUCUGUUGGGGACAGCUGGGGAGAGGACAUCUCGUAGCUGACCUGAAAGUGGUUGGCUGUCCCCCAGGAGGACAACGCCGUGCACAUGGAUGCCUUGGUUUGCUCUGCUGGUCCUGUUGCCUUCGUGUUAAAUAAGCAGUUAUCUGGCUCCGUUUCUCUGGGAGCAGCCAGCCAGAGGAGCCCUGAAGUCGGAGAGGAGAGGAAAGUCACGCCAGGUGUGCAGUGGGGGCCCGGAUGGGCCCCAAGGUUGGGCUUGCGAGGUCAGCCGGCCCGGCGCCAGAGCAGAACAGCCUCGCACGGCCCAUUACGGCCUGCUUAACGACUACACUGAUGACCCAAACUCUGUGGCAGGCUGUUGUCCCGAUGCCUGUUUAAAACAACAUUUCAACCCCUCCCCUCCCGACAAGAUUCACUACAAAAUGGUGGAUUUGGUGGAGACCCUGGCCUGAACUCAAAGCAGCGGCUGUCUGGUCACACAACGCAACGCGGAGAGAGGCUCCGAUAGCCAUGAAACGGGGAACUCUG